GCCUCCCAAGUGCUGGGAUUAAAGGCUUGCGCCACCACCGCCCGGCCAGGUGCUGGUUUUUAAGGCAAACUACCUGUUUCAGUGUGUUCAAAGGCACCCCAGGCCUGGGUGAUGAGAGUGGGGAGCAGGAAGGGAGAGCUGUCCCUUUGGGCUCUAAAAAUGGACUCAGUAAAGUCUCACUCUAAACCACACAGCACUGCCCAUGUAAUACCUACAGGGGAUGGGACCCCCCAUCAACAGAGGGCAGGACCCCUGUCAUCCAGGAGACUUCCUGGAUGUGUGGCUGGGACUGAGAACUGCUGGCUUAGGACCAAAUGUGGAUACACACACACACACACACACACACACACACACACACACUCUCUCUCUUCUCAGGGCUGCGCUACGCUCGGCUGAGAGCAAUGAGACCCUAGGAGGGUAUCAUUCAGAGCUGGGACACUCGCCACCUCCCCCUUGGGUAACCUCUGUAUCCUCUGUGGAAAAUGUGCCUGGCCCGGGGCUACCAACCCUGUUUAUGAGUUACAGAGGAGUGUGAGAGUCCCAACUGGGCGAGCGCGAAACUCUCUAAGAGGGGGUUUCUCAUCUGCUAGGGAGGAAGGCGGACAUUAGGGGAGAAUGGCAAGAUGCCAUGGGCAGACUGGCUUAGUGGAGGAUCCAUGAACAGCCGCCUCCUGGGAUGGGGAGGAGGGUGGAGGGUGGAGGGCGUGGUCAUAGGCAGCUAGGAAGAAGGGUGUGGCAGUGAGCCUGCACAGACCAAUGUUCCCUGUUACAAGACAGGAGUAAGUAGAAACUUCUGCCUGCCAGCUAUGUGUGUCUGGGCUUGAAAUGGUGAUGUCACGUGCAAAAGCAUUAACAUUGUCCCCACUGAGAAUUUCAACCCUGUGUACAAAGGCUGGAGACCUGGGUGCCUCACAGACGCAAGCCCUAACACAGAAGUCAAGACGACAGGCUGGGAAGAUGGUUCGGCAGUCCAGGACAAGAUGAUCACAGUGGCUGGGCUGCAUGGAGCUGGUCCAUCCACUCCCCGCUCAACUCAGAGAGACGCGAUCUCACGGCCACUGGUGUCCCAGCUUUGCAAGAGCGAGCUCUCCGAGAAGGGAGGAAUGGACCACGGGCACCUCCUGUCACAGGCCCAGCAUCUUCAGCCACAGGAGCCAGCAGAAUUCCACAGGGAGAAGAGCAUUUCAGAUAAGGAGUGAGAACUCGGGCCUGUGACCUUUUCAUGACCCUAUCUGUAUAACUGCAAGCCUGAGAAGAACACCCAAGUCAAGAAUGGAAACAGGUGGGCCUCUCCACCUGUGAAAAGGGGAACUAGAAGUUUUGUUCCCAGUUUCUUUCCCACCAGAGGUGGGAAGGGAAACUGUCUUCCAGCCUGAGCUGGUAGUAAUCUAGAAGCAUCUAGAAAGUUCCAGAGCUGCAGUCACACCAGAGAAUUCCUCCAGGCUUUCCAGAAUCCGGUCACCUUCCUGGCUGUGUGUUUGGUGACUAAUGGACGGACACCAGCUUGUCAUCUCUCUGAGCCAGAGGUCAGAAGCUGAACUAGGUCAGGGUGUCCACAGGUUCCUAACUGCAGGUUCUGGGUUGAAUCUGUUUUCUAGCACUUUCUACCUGUCCUUCCUGAUUCUUGGUCCUUCCUUUUCCUUUGGCCUGGCCUUUCUCACACUGCAAAGCUGGGACACCUCUCCAGCCCCAUUGUGAAGGACCCUCGAGUAGCAUUGGGCCGGGGGGGAUGGAUCUCCCAGGGUCCUCUUCUUAGGGCUGCCUUCUACACAACAGCAUCCCCCCUGGAGUAGUACGGUUUAGUCUCACUCCCCAGACUCUGGAGCAAGGCCAUGGGUGACUCUGAUUCCAAAAGAUAUGUCAGGGUUGGACCACAGACCUGAGUUUGCCUGCCUGGGCUCCAAUCCCUGUGAUCUCUAAGAUGAGGUGUGGUGUCUCACACCCUCAUGCUGCCUCGUGGGGGGUGUGCAUGGCAUCUGGAGCCAGUCCAGAUCUGUGACCAUCUCUAUCUGUCCUUUGUCUCAGAGUGGCUCUCAAACCUCACCAUCUCUCUUGGACACCUGGUAAGGCACCCAUAUGUAUGCAGGGCGUAUCCCAUGAACACCUGAGCACCCUACUGGUGGGCAGUUACAGCCCUGCUCUCCAUACAGUGAGCAGAUGCUGUGGGCUCCCCAGCCAGGAGGUCCUGGGAUAGGACAGGCAGUAUAAAAAGCCACACGGUUGAAGAGACAUUGGAAGGAGAGGGAGCCCUCCCUCUGGAGUCUGAAGUCUCCGGUCCAAAAUUUCUGGGAAAUUAACACCAUUGCAUUGACGGUUUUAACAAGGAAACCACAUUCCUUUUAUAGAGAGAUAUUUUUGAAUAAGAAUGCAGAAUUAGCAAUGAGCCGAGCUUCGGGCCUGAGCGUGUACACCCUUUGAGUAUGGCUAGACUCUGUUCCCAGAAGUGAACCCCACAUUUCUGGGAAUCUCACAAACAAGACUAUGAACUUCACUUUCAAUAAAAACGAUCUUAACCCCUGA